UUCGCCCUUAGAGUUUGAUCCUGGCUCAGGACGAACGCUGGCGGCGCGCCUAACACAUGCAAGUCGAACGAGCGAGAGAGAGCUUGCUUUCUCGAGCGAGUGGCGAACGGGUGAGUAACGCGUGAGGAACCUGCCUCAAAGAGGGGGACAACAGUUGGAAACGACCGCUAAUACCGCAUAAGCCCACGGCUCGGCAUCGAGCAGAGGGAAAAGGAGCAAUCCGCUUUGAGAUGGCCUCGCGUCCGAUUAGCUAGUUGGUGAGGUAACGGCCCACCAAGGCGACGAUCGGUAGCCGGACUGAGAGGUUGAACGGCCACAUUGGGACUGAGACACGGCCCAGACUCCUACGGGAGGCAGCAGUGGGGAAUAUUGCACAAUGGGGGAAACCCUGAUGCAGCGACGCCGCGUGGAGGAAGAAGGUCUUCGGAUUGUAAACUCCUGUUGUUGAGGAAGAUAAUGACGGUACUCAACAAGGAAGUGACGGCUAACUACGUGCCAGCAGCCGCGGUAAAACGUAGGUCACAAGCGUUGUCCGGAAUUACUGGGUGUAAAGGGAGCGCAGGCGGGAAGACAAGUUGGAAGUGAAAUCCAUGGGCUCAACCCAUGAACUGUUUUCAAAACUGUUUUUCUUGAGUAGUGCAGAGGUAGGCGGAAUUCCCGGUGUAGCGGUGGAAUGCGUAGAUAUCGGGAGGAACACCAGUGGCGAAGGCGGCCUACUGGGCACCAACUGACGCUGAGGCUCGAAAGUGUGGGUAGCAAACAGGAUUAGAUACCCUGGUAGUCCACACUGUAAACGAUGAUUACUAGGUGUUGGAGGAUUGACCCCUUCAGUGCCGCAGUUAACACAAUAAGUAAUCCACCUGGGGAGUACGACCGCAAGGUUGAAACUCAAAGGAAUUGACGGGGGCCCGCACAAGCAGUGGAGUAUGUGGUUUAAUUCGACGCAACGCGAAGAACCUUACCAAGUCUUGACAUCCUGCGACGCACAUAGAAAUAUGUGUUUCCUUCGGGACGCAGAGACAGGUGGUGCAUGGUUGUCGUCAGCUCGUGUCGUGAGAUGUUGGGUUAAGUCCCGCAACGAGCGCAACCCUUAUGGUCAGUUACUACGCAAGAGGACUCUGGCCAGACUGCCGUUGACAAAACGGAGGAAGGCGGGGAUGACGUCAAAUCAUCAUGCCCUUUAUGACUUGGGCUACACACGUACUACAAUGGCGUUAAACAAAGAGAAGCAAGACCGCGAGGUGGAGCAAAACUCAGAAACAACGUCCCAGUUCGGACUGCAGGCUGCAACUCGCCUGCACGAAGUCGGAAUUGCUAGUAAUCGCAGAUCAGCAUGCUGCGGUGAAUACGUUCCCGGGCCUUGCACACACCGCCCGUCA
rnacentral:rRNA from 1 species